GAUGAACGCUGGCGGCGUGCUUAACACAUGCAAGUCGAACGGAAAGGCUCCUGCUUGCAGGGGUACUCGAGUGGCGAACGGGUGAGUAACACGUGGGUGAUCUGCCCUGCACUUCGGGAUAAGCCUGGGAAACUGGGUCUAAUACCGGAUAGGACCACAUUUUGGAUGGUGUGGUGGAAAGUUUUUCGGUGUGGGAUGAGCUCGCGGCCUAUCAGCUUGUUGGUGGGGUAAUGGCCUACCAAGGCGUCGACGGGUAGCCGGCCUGAGAGGGUGUACGGCCACAUUGGGACUGAGAUACGGCCCAGACUCCUACGGGAGGCAGCAGGGGGGAAUAUGGCACAAUGGGCGCAAGCCUGAUGCAGCGACGCCGCGUGGGGGAGGACGGCCUUCGGGUGGUAAACUCCUUUCGCUAGGGACGAAGCGCAAGUGACGGUACCUGGAGAAGAAGCACCGGCGAACUACGU
rnacentral:rRNA from 1 species